AAAGCAGGCUUUUUAAAGGCAAAAUGGGGAACAAGGAGUGAGCUGAUACAAAGUUGUUUGUCAGGAAUUCUCAUUGGUUUAUAGAAAUAACAUUGGUUAGUGAUUGGCUAUGCAUUGUUGAAUUACAGGGUAUGAGCUACUUGUGUUAGUCAGUCUAGAGUCCAUACAGCAGGCAGCUUCAAGAGGUGAUUACUUAGCUCAAGGUGGGUGAGUGGGACAUGACUGCUGUCUCAUUUCAAGGGCCCUCUGAGCCAGGUAAUUUAGAGGAGGCUCACAUUCCUCAGAUAAAAGUUUCUUUUCUUUCUCAUCCAAAUGACUUUUAUCAGUGAUUACUAGGUUUUGAAGCCUAAUACUUAGAUUCUUUCUCUAGGAGAGUCUGAAUCUAAUGGUUGUAAACCAAAAUAAAAACAAAACCAUGAGGCCGGGCAUGGUGGCUCAUGCCUGUAAUCCCAGCACUUUGGGAGGCCAAGGUGGGCAGAUCACCUGAGGUCAGGAGUUUGAGACCAGCCUGACCCACACGGAGAAACCCCAUCUCUACUAAAAGUACAAAAUUAGCCGGGCUUGGUGGCGCAUGCCUAUAAUCCCAGCUACUUGGGAAGGCUGAGGCAGGAGAAUCACUUGAACCUGGGAGGUGGAGGUUGGGGUGAGCAGAGAUUGCGCCAUUGCACUCCAGCCUGGGCAACAAGAUCAAAACUCUGUCUCAAAAAAAAAAAAAAAAAAAACCACCACGAAUAAAUUAUUAGGAAAGCUGGUGGAAUCAGAGGGUGGACAAAAAACAGAGCUUCCACACUCUUGAGCUUCCUUAAUAUGUUUCAUGACAUGAAGCAUUCCUUCCUUUAUCUAAAAAAUUGUUGACCUCCUGCCAAAUAUAUCCUUACAGGUAAGGAGAAGUUGGUAGAUUUACCUAUAGUUGCAUAGCUGAUAUGUGGCAAAACAUCAAAGUCCAGAGCUCUAAACGGUAUGUCUUGUGGUGCUCAUAAUUAUAUGCUCUGAAAUAAAAAAGAAGACUAUAUUACAUGCUAAUCACUGAUAAAUCUUUCUGCGAUGCCGGUUCAAUUGCCUUCAUUGAUUAUCGCAGAAUUUCCUAUUUGAUUCACUUUGGUGAACUCUCAUGACAUUUUAGAUGUUGUGUUAGGUGUUGGGGAUUCCAAGCUAAUUAAGAAAUUGACACUACUCCAGAGAAGACCUCCUAAUUGGUCUCUUUACCUUGAUCUCUACUCAUUCUGACUCUCAUCAUUGUCUGAAUUUUCUCCUUAACAUAAGAGCUUGAAUUUUUAUUUCCUUAUUUAAAUUUGCUAAAUGAUUCUCUCAUAAUGAAGUAAAAACUCCUGAGCAGGGCCAGAGUUGGAAUGAGGAUCAGAAAGGGAAUUUAGUUCAAUAGGGAUAAUGAUGUUCAUUUUAGACAUGUGGACUUGUGAUUCUGGGGAAUCAGAGAGGAGGGGUUUCAAAGUUCACAGCUGGCAUUGUGGCUAAAGUUAGUUCUGAAGGUACAGAUUUGGAGACCAUCAAUGCUGAGUCCAAGGGGAAAGAAGAGCCCUUGAAAUGGGAUACAAGUAGAGAUAUGCUGAGGAUGUUGGAGAAUAAUCUAGAAACUCUCAGGGCUCCAGGGUCUUGGCAUGGCCACCUCAUAUCCUUUCUGCAUGAGGCCACUUGGUUCCUUUGCUUUUGAAGAAAAUGGCAAAAUUAAUACAAAUGCUCCCCUGACUUACAAUGGGGUUAUGUCCCAGUAAAUCCAUCAGAAAUUGAAAAUAUUGUAAGUUGAGAAUGCACUUAAUAUACUUAGCCUACAGAACAUAAUUGCUUGGCCUAGUCUACCUUAAACAUGCUCAGAACACUUACAUUAGCCUACUGUUGGGCAAAAUUACCAGCACAAAGCCUGUUUUAUCAUAAAGUGUUAAACAUCUCGUGUAAUUCAUUGAAUACUGCACUGAAAGUGAACACCAGAAUGGUUGUAUGGGUACUCAAAGUACAGCUUCUACUGAAUGCGUAUUGCUUUUGCACCAUUGUAAAUUGUGAACAAUUGUGAGUCAAAUCAUAUAGUAAGUUCAGGACCAUCUGUACUGCAUCAAGGUCCCCAGGACCUGAACACAAGUGGUAUAAAUUAUUCCCACUCCUGGAUAAAAAUUUGUUCCAGGAAAGCAGGUAAAUUAGCAUGAUAUAAAUCUUCAAAUUACUUUUGCCCAGUUUGGAGAUGAUGAUCCAGCAUGGUGUGACCAACAGUGUUUUCUCAUCAACACCAUAAGUAAUUCUGCAAAGGACAUGCUGUACACUUUGCCCAGAUUUGUGAUUAUUUCCUCAAGAAAUGGAAUUACUGGGCUAAAGGGAGUUAACAUCUUUAAGGUUCUAGUUAACCACUGAGAAACUGGCCUCAAGAAAGAUUGGAUAAUGUAUAUACCUGCCAAUUAAAGCCCAUCAUUGCUACUGCUAAAUAUAUUCCUUUAAAUUUUUUUCUAUUUAAUAGGGUGUAAAGGGCAUUUUAUUUUUUAUUCAAUAUGCCUUACUUUGAUCAUGAAUUAUUAACUUUCUUAUGUUUAUUGGUCAUUAUACUUCUUAUAAAGAUUAUUUGCA
rnacentral:lncRNA from 1 species